UCCUGGUUAGCUCAGAUGGUAGAGCGACCGCCCCGAAAAGCCGUUGGUCCCGGGUUCGAAUCCCGGACCAGGAU
rnacentral:tRNA from 1 species